AGUGGCGGACGGGUGAGUAACGCGUGAGAAUCUACCUUCAGGACGGGGACAACAGCUGGAAACGGCUGCUAAUACCCGAUAUGCCGAAAGGUGAAAAGUUUUUUCGCCUGGAGAGGAGCUCGCGUCCGAUUAGCUAGUUGGUGAGGUAAAAGCUUACCAAGGCGACGAUCGGUAGCUGGUCUGAGAGGAUGAGCAGCCACACUGGAACUGAGACACGGUCCAGACUCCUACGGGAGGCAGCAGUGGGGAAUUUUCCGCAAUGGGCGAAAGCCUGACGGAGCAACGCCGCGUGGGGGAAGAAGGUUUUUGGAUUGUAAACCCCUUUUCUCAAGGAAGAACAAAAUGACGGUACUUGAGGAAUCAGCCUCGGCUAACUCCGUGCCAGCAGCCUCGGUAAUACGGAGGAGGCAAGCGUUAUCCGGAAUUAUUGGGCGUAAAGCGUUCGUAGGCGGCUGUUCAAGUCUGCUGUCAAAGACCGAGGCUCAACCUCGGGUAGGCAGUGGAAACUGGAUAGCUAGAGGUCGGUAGGGGCAGAGGGAAUUCCCAGUUUAGCGGUGAAAUGCGUAGAUAUUGGGAAGAACACCGGUGGCGAAAGCGCUCUGCUGGGCCGAACCUGACGCUGAGGGACGAAAGCUAGGGGAGCGAAUGGGAUUAGAUACCCC
rnacentral:rRNA from 1 species